UCAACUGGGAUGAUGGAAACCCAUACGUUUGGGGAUGAGAUUGACCUGAGUUUUAAUCUCAUCACUGCCAUUCAUUAGUUGUGAGAUUAUUCAUUCAUUCAAAAUAGGUCAGAUAUGGGAUAAAAGCUUCAAAACCUAUUCCUAAGAAAUGACUAUCUAGUGAUGGAUACAGAGGAGUAGAUUGUAAGACUAUGAUAAAUGGAGGAAAAAAUGGAAGGGAGGAAGGACAGAGAGGGAGCACUGAAUCCAGUGUUGCUUGGGGUGGUUGUGGUGGUCAGAAAUCAUGGGUUGCUUCCUGGAAGAAGCAUCAAAGCAUAGGGCUUCCUCCGGGAAGCAUUGGGAAUGGAGAGGCAUUAGCAUGCAGGAGAAGAGGUGUGCAGCAGGGAUGGUGUUCCAGGCAGAAGUCCAUGGGCAAACGUGAGCAUGGAGUGGAAAGGGGUAGUGGGAGGCAGACCAGGCUGAAAGGGGAGCAGGGGCUGAACAAUGAAGGCCAUGAAAGCUGUUCUAAAGUUUCAAAUUUAUCAGAGGUCAAGGGAGAACUGUGGGAGUGUGUGAAGCGGAGAAAAGGCCUGAGCACCAUGCAUUUUCAAGCAUUUUUGGCUGCUCUGUGAAAAACAGACCAAAGGGGACAGAGGUAGGAAGUGGGGACAAAAGUCCAGAGGCUAUCACAUAGUGCAGGUGAGAGAUGGUGGCAGCUGGGAUGAAGGAAGGCUGUGGGGUUGUAACAGUCACCCAUGGAACUGGAGGAUGUUUGGGAUGUAGUCACAGGAUCUUAGGGGAAGAACACAAUAUUAUUAGGUGCCAGAUGCUUCAAUUGCUUCAUGUUAUUUCUUGCAACAUCCCUGUGAGGUGGGCAUGGACCUGACUGGGUGAGUGACGUCCCCACAGCUGGCAAGUGGCAGUGGCAGAACUCAAACCCAGGUCUGUCUGUCCCCAGACCUGUGGUUUUUCACCACUGGAUCAUGCAGUUUUCCUAAGUCAAAUGUAAUAAGUUAUUCUUACCAUAUUUCAAUUAAGGCCCAUAGAAGUUUUACCAAUUCUGGAAAAUUUAAAUGGAGUGAUAAAUGCACUGAAGAGGAAAGACUGAAGAAAGUUGUUGAUUGAGAUCUUUGGAAUGACCAUCCGCAUCCAUCUCCAGUCAUCAUCCUCUCUGGGAUUUUGAGGGAAACAAGACUGCAAAGCAGCGUCCCCUUUGUAAAUAUUCAACAGAGUUCUUCCUUAACUGUUGUUCCCCGGGUUCUUUUGCACAAAUUACAUGUUCCUCCUACCCUGGCUUUAAUCAUCACAACCUUGAAUCCUCAUCAAGCUCUCUGCCCUAUCUCAAACCAGUGCUUAAAGGACACUCUUACCCUUAGAAGAAAUGGUAUAAUUUUCAUAAACAUGGGUCAUUUCCCCCUUGCAUAAAUGUCAGAUACAAAACCACCACUUAACAAGAUGUGCCAGAAAUAUAGAAUGUCUGAACAAAGGCUGUUGACAAUAGUAUCUUUUUUUUCCUUUUUUGUAGUUCUGUGAAAUUGCUCUCCCAAAAUAUUCCUAAUGCUUUAUUUACUUCAGUGUUGGGUUUAUUUUGGGAUAAACUUUCCUGAAGCUGAAUCUUAGGAUGUGAUUCUUAUCCUGGUCACAUCCUGGGGAGUUGUUUUGUGACUUUUUUUGAAUGGGUCCUGGCUCUUCCAGGGAGCCCCUGGUGCUGAGGAAGAGGCAGGGGCCAGAGGAUGUCAACUCCCGUGUGCAGGACAAAGACAGAGAUGACAAACCAUCGGCUUGGGUGGAAAUACUCCCCAAAGGAGAGCCUGCGCCGCCUGGUCUCCAACAAUGGCAGAAGUGAACCCAGCUCAGACUUUAUCAAUGAUCUAUUCCGGAGAGUGGAAAUUUUGGUUGUGAGGCAUGCUGGAACCUUACCAGCCAGCAGACACGAAGGGGAGGAAGUCCAGGCGGGGCCAGGAAUGAGACUGUGGGAAUUGACCAGAAGGCGGCACCAUGGCUUAGCUUUCAUGUCAGACAGAUCUGCGUGGGCACCCUGCUUCCCUGAGCCUCAGUUUCCUUGCUAGCAGAGUGGAGGUGAGAGUUGAAUUAAAGAAUGUCAUGCCUGGCAUACAGUAAGGGCUCCAGAUGGGAGUUCUGCUCUUUUUUCUCUUUCCCUGAGUGGCUAGAAGUCUAAUGAGUGUCUUAAGGGUGAGGUGAACUGAGGUUUCGUCCAGCCUAUGGUUGGUCUGACUUGAGGGAUAGAUGGUCUUCAGUGAGAAUCGUAAGUUAGAGCUUGGAGUUCAAGAGACUUGGCCUAGCUCUGAGAGAUGAGGGACAAGGGCUGGCCAGAGAAAGAUUGUCCAGAUCCUGAGGCUUCUGAGCUCAGGGUUGGGCUUUAAUCUGAACUUUGAUCAGUGAAGAAGCUGACAUAACCCCAGGUUUAUCCUGGAUUAUACAGUAUAGAGCCAUGGUUCUCAGUGUGGCUUGAGGACCCUGGAGGAACCUGGAGGAACCUGAGGUACUUUCAGAGGUUCAUGAGAUCAGAACUAUUUUUAUAAUGCUACUAAGAUGUAAUUUUCCCUUUUCACUGGUUGAUGUUUAAACUGAUGGUGUAAAAGCAACAGUGGUAAAGAGCUGGUGCUUUAGUUUGGAUCAAGGUAGUGGUAGCAAACUGCAGUGGUUAUCAUUGUAUUACUCACCACCACAUGCGCAUGGUAGGAAGAAAAAAGACAGUUUCACUUAAUGUCCUUGAUGAAGCAAUAAAAAUGAUCAAAUUUGUUAAACUUCAGCCUUCGAGUGCCUGGCCUGUCUUUUUAAUGAUUGGUGUGAUGAGAUGAGAAGUGUGGGUAAAGCUUUUCUGUUGCCUACAAAAGCACAGUGGUGGUCUCAAGGAAAAGCACCGGAGUGAGUGAGUGUGUUGGGAGCUGAAGUAGCCAUUUUCUCCAUAGAAAACCAUUUUCCUGGAAAGAACAAUUGACAAACACGCUGCAAUUGGCAGACACAACACCUGCACACACCCCCACACGUAUCCACCCACACAUAUAUGUAUUUAAAUGAUGAAGUCAGGGCUUCAAGGAAAUGAAGUUACUUCAAGAAAAACAAAUGUCAGUAUGUACUGCCAGUGAUAAAAUUUGAGAGUUCAAAUGAACAAUUGGGAUUUUUGAAAACUUGUAUCUUUCACUGUGAGCUGGUUUCAGAUUCCACAUGGCAGUGACCCUUUGAAAAUCCACCACUUGUCGAGUUUUGGUGUACUAUCAAAGAGGAAUGUCCACAGUUAUCUGAACAGAUUAUUAAAAUGCUUCUCCCUUAUCCAACUUCAUGACUGUUUGAGGCCAGGUUUCUUCAUAUACUUCAAUCAAGUAACACAAGACAAUAGGCUGAAUGCAAAAGAUAUGUGAAUCUACUUUGUAUGUUAAUAAGUCAGACAUUAAAGAGAUUGCAAACAUGU